GACGAACGCUGGCGGCGUGCUUAACACAUGCAAGUCGAACGAAGAGCGAUGGAAGCUUGCUUCUAUCAAUCUUAGUGGCGAACGGGUGAGUAACGCGUAAUCAACCUGCCCUUCAGAGGGGGACAACAGUUGGAAACGACUGCCAAUACCGCAUACGAUCUAAUCUCGGCAUCGAGGAUAGAUGAAAGGUGGCCUCUACAUGUAAGCUAUCACUGAAGGAGGGGAGUGCGUCUGAUUAGCUAGUUGGAGGGGUAACGGCCCACCAAGGCGAUGAUCAGUAGCCGGUCUGAGAGGAUGAACGGCCACAUUGGGACUGAGACACGGCCCAGACUCCUACGGGAGGCAGCAGUGGGGAAUCUUCCGCAAUGGACGAAAGUCUGACGGAGCAACGCCGCGUGAGCGAUGACGGCCUUCGGGUUGUAAAGCUCUGUUAAUCGGGACGAAAGGCCUCCUUGCGAAUAGGGAGAAGGAUUGACGGUACCGGAAUAGAAAGCCACGGCUAACUACGUG
rnacentral:rRNA from 1 species